AAGCAAUAUUCUUAGAGCAGUACCUCAAUCCCCUCUUUCUAAGAAUAAAGCAAGAAAAUGUCCAACUACAGUGGAGGUUUAAGAAGAAAGUGAAUUUAGGGGGCGUACAUCCACAUUCAAAUAGGUGGUUCCAAGUCCAACACAAAUAGAAGCUAUACUAGAAAAUCUUAAACACCUGUUAUAUAACAGCCAGGAAGACCAAGCAAUGUCAAGACUCCCAAUGAGAAUCAACUCAUCAGCACUCAACAGCUAUUGUUAUCAUGCUACUGAAGGUCAGAAGGAUACAUCAUGGUCCUGGAUUUUGGAACUCUUUAAUUUCUACACAAAAAAUGCAUAGUUUAAGCUUAGGGUCAAAUAGCAUGGGGCUUUACAACAAUAUUUUUCAUUUUAUGCAAUGGUGAGAAACUGGGUUAUGACCACAUGUAUCAUCAAUAAAGUGCUCGCAUAUUACAAUUCACAAUUAAUUAUACUGAACAAAAUUAAAUAGUACUUUUGAAAAAGAAAAUUGUAGAAAUAGCAAUUAAAGCACAUAGGCAAAACCAGCCUAAUUUCCUCAUUACAGCCACUAGUUUAAAAACCAUUUGAGAUUGAAUAUCAUUCCCAUUAUCCUCCAUUUGCCAGAGCAAUUAAAAGCCCAUAAACACUGAAAGAUUUCAUUCAAUUAAAGCAACCAAACCAAACAA
rnacentral:misc_RNA from 1 species